ACACAGUGACGUCAGUUCCAAAGCGCUAUUGUGUCAGACUCAUCUCCCGCUGAAGAGGAUCCAGCGACAUCAAGAGAUUACGGAAAAUCACGCGAGAUAACUGGCUCGCACCUUGUUGGGUUUUUUCAAGGGCAGAGGGGAGAUUCCUGGCGUGCAUCUACUUAAUUUGAAGAAGAACAUCACCUGUCUGUAAUCCACCUGCGUAAGUACUGGUCAAGGGGCUCAUCGGCUAUCAAGUUAUAGAUUUCAGUGGCUAAUAGAAGACACUGCUGAGGUCAGACGAGAGUGCAUCCUCAAAUGUCUGUGUGUACCUAAAUGAAGAUCCAGAGAAGCUGGUGAGGGAGUACAUGGACGUUGAUGAAUGCGCAGAAAUGGCCAAAGCCGAGGCUGUCCUCGGAAUCGUCAUUUGAGCAGAGGGUGCAGAGGCUGCCGAUGCACAUCUGGAUGUUGGGAUUGUCCUGGAGGAGGUGGAAGUUAUGAACAGCUUGGGCAGUGUAUCUUCUGCAAUAGUGAUGCUGCUGGGACUAAUCUAUGCACUAAACUUGAGCUACCCUCAAGUUUAGUGCGAUCAGCACUCAACUUGCUCAGUAACUCAAGCAUACCUUUGAAGUAAUACAGAAAAUAAUAAUGAAAUUGGAUGGAAAGAACUUAUCAAAGAAAGCACAAGUUCUCAAUAUGAAACUCGCUGCUAAGUUGAGCAAAGUUUCACAUGGAAAAUGAGUGUUUAAAGUCUGCAGUAGAAAAGAUUUAUAUUGUUACAGUUCUCUAAGUUGAGCAACUAUACUGACAUGUUUUAUGUUGUAAAGAAUUGGCUGGGAAAUGAAACUGUAACCUUUUUGUAGUUGUUUUUUUAUUUCAAUGUCCAACUCAGCUGUGUUUUGUGCUGUGUAAAAAAACGAUGUAUAACAAUUCUGAAAAUACAAUUGUGUUGUACCUUU